UACGGAGGGGGCGAGCGUUAUUCGGAAUUAUUGGGCGUAAAGGGCGCGUAGGCGGCCGGAUAAGUCGAAGGUGAAAUCCCUCGGCUCAACUGAGGAACUGCCUUUGAAACUGUUUGGCUCGAGUCCGGGAGGGGGUAGCGGAACUCCCAGUGUAGCGGUGAAAUGCGUAGAUAUUGGGAGGAACACCAGUGGCGAAGGCGGCUACCUGGACCGGAACUGGCGCUGAUGCGCGAAAGCGUGGGGAGCAAACAGG
rnacentral:rRNA from 1 species